UACAGAGGUCCCGAGCGUUAGGCGGAAUCACUGGGCUUAAAGCGUGUGUAGGCGGAUCGUUAAGUACCUUGUGAAAUCCCACGGCUUAACCGUGGAACUGCUUGGUAUACUGGCGGUCUUGAGCCACUUAGGGGCUACCGGAACAAAUGGUGGAGCGGUGAAAUGCGUAGAUAUCAUUUGGAACGCCAAUGGUGAAAACAGGUAGCUGGGGGUGUGCUGACGCUGAGACACGAAAGCCAGGGGAGCAAACGGG
rnacentral:rRNA from 1 species